rnacentral:rRNA from 1 species
CGUGGUACCGUACCCGACGAUGAGGAAUACCACCGAGAAAUCGGUGACAACACCGCAUACUCUUGGUCACAAGCAAAGCCUCGUCAGAGGCGUCUUGGGAUGGGCCUGCGCCUGAUUAGCUGGUUGGUGGGGUAAUGGCUCACCAAGGCGUCGAUCAGUAGCUGGUCUGAGAGGAUGAUCAGCCACACUGGGAUUGAGAACGGCCCAG